rnacentral:rRNA from 1 species
UACGGGGGGGGCUAGCGUUGUUCGGAAUUACUGGGCGUAAAGGGCUCGUAGGCGGCCAACUAAGUCAGACGUGAAAUCCCUCGGCUUAACCGAGGAACUGCGUCUGAUACUGGAUGGCUGGAAUCUGGGAGAGGGAUGCGGAAUUCCAGGUGUAGCGGUGAAAUGCUUAGAUAUCGUCCAGAACACCGAUAGCGAAGGCAGCUUACUAAGGAGUAACUGACGCUGAGGCACGAAAGUGUGGGGAUCAAACAGG